rnacentral:rRNA from 1 species
GACGUAGGAGACAAGCGUUGUUCGGAAUUACUGGGCGUAAUGGGCGCGUAGGCGGUUCGUUAAGUCCUGUGUGAAAUCCCCCGGCUCAACUGGGGAACUGCACAGGAAACUAGCGGGCUUGAGUUCGGGAGAGGGAAGCGGAAUUCCGGGUGUAGCGGUGAAAUGCGUAGAUAUCCGGAGGAACACCGGUGGCGAAGGCGGCUUCCUGGACCGACACUGACGCUGAGGCGCGAAAGCUAGGGGAGCAAACGGG